rnacentral:lncRNA from 1 species
GCCUACGCAGAAAAGCAGGUCUUGCAGGACAUAUAGCAGAGUGGAUCUGCUAGGCAACGGGCAUCACUUACCCCUCCAUCAUCCUUCCUGGACAGCUGUUAGAAGAGGCUGUUGAGAAUAUACCACUUUCUGCUCCGUCACGUUUACCAGCGUAGAGCGCAAAGAGGUCAAAGCGUUUAAACUCCGUACGAGGAUGAUGAUGAGUGUUUUUCAGAGACAUGAGAAUUUAUCUCGGACUCUGAAUAAUACCUGAACAAAGCAUAAAAUCAACAUUUUGUUAUUUGUCCUCAGAGGGGCUAAAUCUCACUGUCUUGCUGAUAUCUUAAAAAUAUGGCCAAGAAAAUUGCUUUCUCCUCAGUUUGUAGGUGCUUCAAACAGCUGAGGAGCAAGCUGAAUUGGAAUUGCAUGCUUAUUAGGAUUCAGAUUUUUAAAUUUUCUGCAAGAAAGCGUUGGAAGAACUUCUUUCUGGACCAGUAGUUGCAGAUACAGGUACACUAAAAGCAGUUUUGCAUGUUCAGAUCUUACGGGAAUUUUCCUGUAAGUGCAUAUGUAAGGAGAUAGAUUUCCAGGAAAGGCAUAUUAAAACGUGAAUAGCGAUACACGCUGGUACAGUAAUUCACUUUUGUGGUCACAGACCACAAUGAAGAAGGUGGGAGAGAAUUCAGCUACGGGAAGACUGUUAAUUUCAAAUUUUUCUACAGUCAGUAAGAGGAAAAGAAAGGGUAGAAAAGAGCUAAUGAAAAUCCCGAGAAAGCAUUGAACAUAGAAAAGAAAAAAAAGUACAGUUAAGUGCUAUUAGACAGGCAAUGUGUUAAAAAUAAGAGUUUGUCCAUGAAGCUAGGAGAAAAGUAUCAUCUCAAAUUCAAAUAAAAGUUUGUUCUAAGAAUACAAUUGUAUUCUUGAGUACAGGAGCUGAAGUAAUAUAAAGAAGUAACACAGACCUGGGCCAUUUUUCACGCGUUGAGCAAUGCCUUACUUCACAAAUAAUGCUCUUCAGUUUUCUUCAAUAUCCACUGUACCUGGGGAAGGAGCAAAAGCAUGGGAAAGUACACUGGAAUCUGCUAAAUUGUACAGCGGUCUCCUUGCUAUCAAGCGCUGCCUCUGUCUUUCUCUGCGCUAAUCCUUAAGUUGCUACGUUCAUAGAAGAAUGAACAGUGAAGUGUGAGUCCACUUUUCGAGUUACCACUAGAAAUCAGUGCAGUGGACACAUCAUUUCAAGGUCAGAAAAUUACGUGACAUGCUGUAACGGUAAUUAGUAGACACGCAGCAGCCUGUAACGAGCUAAGGUAGAUCCGACUGUAGGAUAUCUGCUGGAGCUUUCUAAGCCUUGGAACAGUUGAUGAGCACUACUCAUGCAUGAAAUAGAACAGACGCACACACUUCUUUAAAGUCAAACUAUAACAGCAUUCAAAGAAGGAGUCCUCAACAAGAGCAAACACAUCUGGUGUUCUCUCUGCUACGCAGCGAUUGAGGUAUACCGUCGUAUUUCAUAGAACAUCGAAGUACCACCAAGUGCAUUAUGCUUCCCUG